UGGGGAAUAUUGCACAAUGGGGAAGACCCUGAUGCAGCGACGCCGCGUGAGCGAAGAAGUAUUUCGGUAUGUAAAGCUCUAUCAGCAGGGAAGAAAAUGACGGUACCUGACUAAGAAGCCCCGCUAACUACGUGCCAGCAGCCGCGGUAAUACGUAGGGGCGAAGCGUUAUCCGGAUUUACUGGGUGUAAAGGGAGCGCAGGCGGUCUUGCAAGUCUGAUGUGAAAGCCCGCGGCUCAACCGCGGGACUGCAUUGGAAACUGUAGGACUUGAGUGUCGGAGGGGCAAGUGGAAUUCCUAGUGUAGCGGUGAAAUGCGUAAGAUAUUAGGAGGAACACCAGUGGCGAAGGCGGCUUGCUGGACGACAACUGACGCUGAGGCUCGAAAAGCGUGGGGGAGCAAAACAGGAUUAGAUACCC
rnacentral:rRNA from 1 species